UACAGAGACUGCAAGCGUUAUUCGGAUUCACUGGGCGUAAAGGGUGCGCAGGCGGCCGUGUGUGUGAGGCGUGAAAGCCCGGAGCUCAACUCCGGAAUUGCACCUCAAACUACACGGCUAGAGCAUUGGAGAGGGAAGCGGAAUUCACGGUGUAGCAGUGAAAUGCGUAGAUAUCGUGAGGAACACCAGAGGCGAAGGCGGCUCCCUGGACAAUUGCUGACGCUCAGGCACGAAAGCGUGGGGAGCAAAAGGG
rnacentral:rRNA from 1 species